GAACGUAUCACCCAAGACAACUUUACGGAGUUGACGAUUGACGGAGCGAAGCGACGUCAAAGCGUUCAUUAAAGUCGAGUUGGCUUAGGGAUACGUUCGUUGGGUAGGGGAGCGUUCUGUAAGCCUGCGAAGGUGGCCUGUGAGGGUUGCUGGAGGUAUCAGAAGUGCGAAUGCUGACAUAAGUAACGAUAAAGCGGGUGAAAAGCCCGCUCGCCGGAAGACCAAGGGUUCCUGUCCAACGUUAAUCGGGGCAGG
rnacentral:rRNA from 1 species